rnacentral:rRNA from 1 species
GACGAACGCUGGCGGCGUGCUUAACACAUGCAAGUCGAACGGAAAGGCCCUGCUUUUGUGGGGUGCUCGAGUGGCGAACGGGUGAGUAACACGUGAGUAACCUGCCCUUUACUUUGGGAUAACUUCAGGAAACUGGGGCUAAUACCGGAUAUGAGCUCCUGCUGCAUGGUGGUGGUUGGAAAGUUUCGGCGGUUGGGGAUGGACUCGCGGCUUAUCAGCUUGUUGGUCGGGUAGUGGCUUACUAAGGCUUUGACGGGUAGCCGGCCUGAGAGGGUGACCGGCCACAUUGGGACUGAGAUACGGCCAAGACUCCUCCGGGAGGCAGCAGUGGGGAAUAUUGCACAAUGGGCCGAAGCCUGAUGCAGCAACGCCGCGUGCGGGAUGACGGCCUUCGGGUUGUAAACCGCUUUCGCCUGUGACGAAGCGUGAGUGACGGUAAUGGGUAAAGAAGCACCGGCUAACUACGUG